rnacentral:rRNA from 1 species
GACGAACGCUGGCGGCGUGCUUAACACAUGCAAGUCGAACGGAAAGGCCCUGCUUUUGUGGGGUGCUCGAGUGGCGAACGGGUGAGUAACACGUGAGUAACCUGCCCUUGACUUUGGGAUAACUUCAGGAAACUGGGGCUAAUACCGGAUAGGAGCUCCUGCUGCAUGGUGGGGGUUGGAAAGUUUCGGCGGUUGGGGAUGGACUCGCGGCUUAUCAGCUUGUUGGUGGGGUAGUGGCUUACCAAGGCUUUGACGGGUAGCCGGCCUGAGAGGGUGACCGGCCACAUUGGGACUGAGAGACGGCCCAGACGCCUACGGGAGGCAGCAGUGGGGAAUAUUGCACAAUGGGCGGAAGCCUGAUGCAGCAACGCCGCGUGCGGGAUGACGGCCUUCGGGUGGUAAACCGCUUUCGCCUGUGACGAAGCGUGAGUGACGGUAAUGGGUAAAGAAGCACCGGCUAACUACGU